rnacentral:rRNA from 1 species
AAUUAUAUCACUGGGUAGUAACAUUAAACCAACAUGUAUUGGCGGUCUUUAAAACUUAGAGAAACUCGCUUUAUAAUCGUAACUACUCGCUAAUUUUAACUCUAAUAAAUAGCCUAUAUACCGCCGUUUAGAAUAUAACACAAAAUACUAUUCAAAAUCUUUACACAGCAAAAAUCAGGUCAAGGUGUAGCCAAUUUUAGAGUAAAAGUAAGUUACAUUAAAAACAAUUUAAGGAUUUAGUAUAAAAAUACAAAUGAAAAAGAAUUUAUUAGUACGGAUUAAUCAAUAACUAAACCCGAAAAAACAACCUAAAGAUGU